AAAGGAAUUGACGGGGGCCCGCACAAGCAGUGGAGUAUGUGGUUUAAUUCGAAGCAACGCGAAGAACCUUACCAGGUCUUGACAUCCAACUAACGAAGUAGAGAUACAUUAGGUGCCCUUCGGGGAAAGUUGAGACAGGUGGUGCAUGGUUGUCGUCAGCUCGUGUCGUGAGAUGUUGGGUUAAGUCCCGCAACGAGCGCAACCCUUGCUAUUAGUUGCUACGCAAGAGCACUCUAAUAGGACUGCCGUUGACAAAACGGAGGAAGGUGGGGACGACGUCAAAUCAUCAUGCCCCUUAUGACCUGG
rnacentral:rRNA from 1 species